rnacentral:rRNA from 1 species
AUUGAACGCUGGCGGCAGGCCUAGCACAUGCAAGUCGAGCGGAUGAAGGGAGCUUGCUCCUGGAUUCAGCGGCGGACGGGUGAGUAAUGCCUAGGAAUCUGCCUGGUAGUGGGGGAUAACGUCCGGAAACGGGCGCUAAUACCGCAUACGUCCUGAGGGAGAAAGUGGGGGAUCUUCGGACCUCACGCUAUCAGAUGAGCCUAGGUCGGAUUAGCUAGUUGGUGGGGUAAAGGCCUACCAAGGCGACGAUCCGUAACUGGUCUGAGAGGAUGAUCAGUCACACUGGAACUGAGACACGGUCCAGACUCCUACGGGAGGCAGCAGUGGGGAAUAUUGGACAAUGGGCGAAAGCCUGAUCCAGCCAUGCCGCGUGUGUGAAGAAGGUCUUCGGAUUGUAAAGCACUUUAAGUUGGGAGGAAGGGCAGUAAGUUAAUACCUUGCUGUUUUGACGUUACCAACAGAAUAAGCGCCGGCUAACUUCGUG